AUCCCCCCCGGGAAAAGCGUCUGAGGGAAUAAAGACAAGGCGAGCUGUUUGGCGGAGCUGACCGGUCCUCGGCCGCGAGUGCAGUGAAUCCACAACCCGUGACGCCACUGUGAGGACAUAACAUUCAUAGAUCCAUCCGGCAGUUCUUAUGGACGUGUGAGGAAAUACUGAUGACGACAUCCAAAGUGUUACCAGCCUCCGGUCAGGCCAAAGGACCGGUGCGCUGGCGGCCUGCAUCCAACACAAAGUUCUAAACCUUAAGAAGUCUCGAAUAUGGUUGGUGGAGGAUCUCUUGUCAAGAUUAGCGUGAAGUUGAGAUGUAUUGCUCCCACUUCAGGGGCUCAUAAGAAUCCAGGCAGUGUGCCAUAUUGUUCUGUUCUGCAGCAUCAUAAAUCAACGGAGGCUUAGAGGGUUUGGAUGGUGCGUCGGAUAAACACAAUCAAACUUAUGUUACCCGCUUCUCUGAAGGGACAAUGCAGUUUUACCCAGAGGCCUUCCAACCUUCACAUGAAUCUUGAUAAGACAAUAUCAGAUAUGCAGGCGGCCAAGAAAAGGGGAAUACCUGAGGAUAUGGAAGGCUCACUAAAUGCUAAAAUGAGUCUUCAAUUGAUGUAAAAUGUGUAAAUCAUAUGUUGUGGCCUUCACAGUCACCUGAUAACGACUGGACAACAGGAGCGUCGAGCUUUCCACAAAUCUUUUUUUUCUUGUUCAUCCCUUCAGUAGAGGUCCUCAGAGUCGGAGACCUUGAAGCUGUGUGGUUUCGUAGCGUCCCCAUGUUGUCACCGAUCUAUAGUUGGUGUUGUCAAAUAAACAUGACGUUAUAAAUACAAAUGAAAGGCUGAAUUGAUGCAUUGAAUCAAGUAAGAAGUAGACGUAGUCACUGUAAAGUCUUGGGGAUGACCAGAGGAGUCGCCCCCUGGUGGUCAGGUGAGAUAAUACAGCUUUAACACAUAAAGCAUAUACUUAUAUACAACCAGAGGAUUUGGCCCCUGGUGGUCAGAUAAGAUAAUACAGCUUUAACACAUGAAAUACUUCAAUACUAGCAGAGGAGUCGCCACCUGGUGGUCAGGUGAGAUAAUGCAGCUUUAACACCUGAAGUACUUAUACACAACUAGAGGAGUCGCCACCUGGUGGUCAGGUGAGAUAAUGCAUCUUUAAGACGUUGCCGCCUGAUAUGCCGAUAUGUUACUAUGGUAAUGAAAUAAAAUAUAUGAAAAAUA